UCGCUCGUCCGGGGCAUUCAGCCGUUUUCUCCGCGGCCCUCCCCGGAACGGCGCUAGCCGUCGCCUGCUCCAGAGCGGGUGGGCGGCGCUGGCCAGGCGCCUUGGAUGCCGACAGGAUUCUACGGGUGCACUUGCUCCGGUCGUCGAGGGCCACGACCGGUUCCUUCGCAGGCAGUCUAGAGUCGGGUCGGUCGGGCGUCGCACGUCGGGGUGGCUUCGCCGCCUCGCGGCUUCGCUCCGAUCCUGACGGACACUCGCCUGGGGGACCGAGGACGCGUUUUAUGGCCGACGCUGUCGGGAUGCGGGCGCUCCCCUCUGGCCUCCUGGUGCGACACCCGUCUUUUGCCGGGGUUGCGCCGUCAAGGAGGCUGGGGGGCUCUGCCUCUUGCCGGCGCGUCGUCUCAGUGUCGGUGGAGGAUAAGUCUGUAUCACCCACCG
rnacentral:rRNA from 1 species